rnacentral:rRNA from 1 species
UUAAGCGACUAAGCGUACACGGUGGAUGCCCUGGCAGUCAGAGGCGAUGAAGGGCGUGCUAAUCUGCGAUAAGCGCCGGUAAGGUGAUAUGAACCGUUAUAACCGGCGAUACCCGAAUGGGGAAACCCAGUGUGAUUCGUCACACUAUCAUUAACUGAAUCCAUAGGUUAAUGAGGCGAACCGGGGGAACUGAAACAUCUAAGUACCCCGAGGAAAAGAAAUCAACCGAGAUUCCCCCAGUAGCGGCGAGCGAACGGGGAGGAGCCCAGAGCCUGAAUCAGCAUGUGUGUUAGUGGAAGCGUCUGGAAAGGCGCGCGAUACAGGGUGACAGCCCCGUACACAAAAGCGCAUGUGCUGUGAGCUCGAUGAGUAGGGCGGGACACGUGGUAUCCUGUCUGAAUAUGGGGGGACCAUCCUCCAAGGCUAAAUACUCCUGACUGACCGAUAGUGAACCAGUACCGUGAGGGAAAGGCGAAAAGAACCCCGGCGAGGGGAGUGAAAAAGAACCUGAAACCGUGUACGUACAAGCAGUGGGAGCCCCACCACUAAGCCAGUGGUGAACUCCACAUACGCAUCCUUUGCUGAGGAUACGGUUAACGGAGCGCAAGCGACGUUCAACCGCAAAAGAAGCAGAGGGGGCUUAGUGGUGGGGUGACUGCGUACCUUUUGUAUAAUGGGUCAGCGACUUAUAUUCUGUAGCAAGGUUAACCGAAUAGGGGAGCCGGAGGGAAACCGAGUCUUAAUUGGGCGUUAAGUUGCAGGGUAUAGACCCGAAACCCGGUGAUCUAGCCAUGGGCAGGUUGAAGGUUGGGUAACACUAACUGGAGGACCGAACCGACUAAUGUUGAAAAAUUAGCGGAUGACCUGUGGCUGGGGGUGAAAGGCCAAUCAAACCGGGAGAUAGCUGGUUCUCCCCGAAAGCUAUUUAGGUAGCGCCUCGUGAAUUCAUCUCCGGGGGUAGAGCACUGUUUCGGCUAGGGGGCCAUCCCGGCUUACCAACCCGAUGCAAACUGCGAAUACCGGAGAAUGUUAUCACGGGAGACACACGGCGGGUGCUAACGUCCGUCGUGAAGAGGGAAACAACCCAGACCGCCAGCUAAGGUCCCAAAGUCAUGGUUAAGUGGGAAACGAUGUGGGAAGGCCCAGACAGCCAGGAUGUUGGCUUAGAAGCAGCCAUCAUUUAAAGAAAGCGUAAUAGCUCACUGGUCGAGUCGGCCUGCGCGGAAGAUGUAACGGGGCUAAACCAUGCACCGAAGCUGCGGCAGCGACACUAUGUGUUGUUGGGUAGGGGAGCGUUCUGUAAGCCUGCGAAGGUGACCUGUGAGGGUUGCUGGAGGUAUCAGAAGUGCGAAUGCUGACAUAAGUAACGAUAAAGCGGGUGAAAAGCCCGCUCGCCGGAAGACCAAGGGUUCCUGUCCAACGUUAAUCGGGGCAGGGUGAGUCGACCCCUAAGGCGAGGCCGAAAGGCGUAGUCGAUGGGAAACGGGUUAAUAUUCCCGUACUUGGUGUUACUGCGAAGGGGGGACGGAGAAGGCUAUGUUGGUCGGGCGACGGUUGUCCCGGUUUAAGCGUGUAGGUGUGUGUUCCAGGUAAAUCCGGUUCACUUUAACACUGAGGCGUGAUGACGAGGCACUACGGUGCUGAAGCAACAAAUGCCCUGCUUCCAGGAAAAGCCUCUAAGCAUCAGGUAACAUCAAAUCGUACCCCAAACCGACACAGGUGGUCAGGUAGAGAAUACCAAGGCGCUUGAGAGAACUCGGGUGAAGGAACUAGGCAAAAUGGUGCCGUAACUUCGGGAGAAGGCACGCUGACAUGUAGGUGAAGUGAUUUACUCAUGGAGCUGAAGUCAGUCGAAGAUACCAGCUGGCUGCAACUGUUUAUUAAAAACACAGCACUGUGCAAACACGAAAGUGGACGUAUACGGUGUGACGCCUGCCCGGUGCCGGAAGGUUAAUUGAUGGGGUCAGCGCAAGCGAAGCUCCUGAUCGAAGCCCCGGUAAACGGCGGCCGUAACUAUAACGGUCCUAAGGUAGCGAAAUUCCUUGUCGGGUAAGUUCCGACCUGCACGAAUGGCGUAAUGAUGGCCAGGCUGUCUCCACCCGAGACUCAGUGAAAUUGAACUCGCUGUGAAGAUGCAGUGUACCCGCGGCAAGACGGAAAGACCCCGUGAACCUUUACUAUAGCUUGACACUGAACAUUGAGCCUUGAUGUGUAGGAUAGGUGGGAGGCUUUGAAGUGUGGACGCCAGUCUGCAUGGAGCCGACCUUGAAAUACCACCCUUUAAUGUUUGAUGUUCUAACGUGGACCCGUGAUCCGGGUUGCGGACAGUGUCUGGUGGGUAGUUUGACUGGGGCGGUCUCCUCCUAAAGAGUAACGGAGGAGCACGAAGGUUGGCUAAUCCUGGUCGGACAUCAGGAGGUUAGUGCAAUGGCAUAAGCCAGCUUGACUGCGAGCGUGACGGCGCGAGCAGGUGCGAAAGCAGGUCAUAGUGAUCCGGUGGUUCUGAAUGGAAGGGCCAUCGCUCAACGGAUAAAAGGUACUCCGGGGAUAACAGGCUGAUACCGCCCAAGAGUUCAUAUCGACGGCGGUGUUUGGCACCUCGAUGUCGGCUCAUCACAUCCUGGGGCUGAAGUAGGUCCCAAGGGUAUGGCUGUUCGCCAUUUAAAGUGGUACGCGAGCUGGGUUUAGAACGUCGUGAGACAGUUCGGUCCCUAUCUGCCGUGGGCGCUGGAGAACUGAGGGGGGCUGCUCCUAGUACGAGAGGACCGGAGUGGACGCAUCACUGGUGUUCGGGUUGUCAUGCCAAUGGCACUGCCCGGUAGCUAAAUGCGGAAGAGAUAAGUGCUGAAAGCAUCUAAGCACGAAACUUGCCCCGAGAUGAGUUCUCCCUGAGACUUUAGGUCUCCUGAAGGAACGUUGAAGACGACGACGUUGAUAGGCCGGGUGUGUAAGCGCAGCGAUGCGUUGAGCUAACCGGUACUAAUGAACCGUGAGGCUUAACCUU